rnacentral:lncRNA from 1 species
AUGGACUCUAUGGACCUGAGUCAGGGCUGGACUGCGUUUCUCGGCCUCUCUUGCAGAAAACGUGAUUGCCUGACUGUGUACUGGACGGUAAGCAGAAGUGAUCCGCCUCCUGUCAGGUCCAUCCCUGAAAAACCUCCCGCUGCACUUCUCUGUACUUCUCAACCAACAAUGGGUUGGAGACGGUUCCCAGGACCCAGUGGAGGGCAGAGCGACAAGACAGAAGAGGCCUGGGUUGCUGAGACCCUGGGUAUGGGAGGAACCGUGCAGGGAUCUACCCUGGAAACCUGUUUAACCAGGCAUUCUAGCCUUGAAUCUCUGAGACCUACUACGUGCCCAGGAGGAAACCCAGAUGAUCUGAGAAGGCCUGGUCCACAUUCUUUUUUUAACUUGCAGCUUCCAGAAUCAAGAAUCCUACAGUCACACUGGCUAUUUCCCUGGGGAAGCAUGAUCCUUGCCGCGCCACUCUGUCAGCUGUCAUAA